rnacentral:rRNA from 1 species
AUUGAACGCUGGCGGCAGGCCUAACACAUGCAAGUCGAGCGGAUGAAGGGAGCUUGCUCCUGGAUUCAGCGGCGGACGGGUGAGUAAUGCCUAGGAAUCUGCCUGGUAGUGGGGGAUAACGUCCGGAAACGGGCGCUAAUACCGCAUACGUCCUGAGGGAGAAAGUGGGGGAUCUUCGGACCUCACGCUAUCAGAUGAGCCUAGGUCGGAUUAGCUAGUUGGUGGGGUAAAGGCCUACCAAGGCGACGAUCCGUAACUGGUCUGAGAGGAUGAUCAGUCACCCGUGGAAUGAAGACCGGGUCCAGCUCCCUCGGGGAGCAGCAGGGGGGGAAUUUUGACAAAAGGCGAAAGGCUGAACCCACCCUGGCGGGGUGGGGAAAGAAGUUUUUGGAAUGGAAAAACUUUUUAAGUGGGGAGGAAGGGCAGUAAUUUAAUCCUUUCCUUUUUUGACGUUCCCAAAAAAAAAGGCCCCGGCUAACUUCGUC